AUUCGAAGCAACGCGCAGAACCUUACCAGCGUUUGACAUGCCAGGACGGUUUCCAGAGAUGGAUUCCUCCCCUUACGGGGCCUGGACACAGGUGCUGCAUGGCUGUCGUCAGCUCGUGUCGUGAGAUGUUGGGUUAAGUCCCGCAACGAGCGCAACCCUCGUCUCUAGUUGCUACCAUUUAGUUGGGCACUCUAGAGAAACUGCCGGUGAUAAGCCGGAGGAAGGUGGGGAUGACGUCAAGUCCUCAUGGCCCUUACGCGCUGGGCUACACACGUGCUACAAUGGCGGUGACAGUGAGCAGCGACCCCGCGAGGGUGAGCUAAUCUCCAAAAGCCGUCUCAGUUCGGAUUGUUCUCUGCAACUCGAGAGCAUGAAGGCGGAAUCGCUAGUAAUCGCGGAUCAGCAUGCCGCGGUGAUACGUUCCCAGGCC
rnacentral:rRNA from 1 species